GCUUGUUUUUAAGUGUUCAGAAUAAAGCCUUUUUACUUUUUACUUUUUUGUACUGUCCCCUUUUUUGUUUAUUGGGAUUGAGUAGGUUUAAAGCCCUGUAGCCGCCAAAAACCUUUUGCAUUUCUUUACCUCUAUUGCGCCCCGGACAGAGACGUGUCGGCUGGGCUCCCUACUUCCGGAUUCAACACACCAGACUGCACGGAGGAGCGGAACGGACGCCAUACACAGACACUCUGAAGACACGCUGAAGCGACGCUGCUCAGUGAAAGGACCGCAGACCCCGCAGGAACGGAACAGGAUCUUAAGAACUGGUGAGAGCCUGCUGAAUCCCACCAUUGGUCUCGCCCGACGGUGCUGGGGCCGUGAUAUUUCAGAAUGCCUCAGGGAGUGAGGCAUAUAGUAAAAGUGCAGUCAUGCCAUUGUCUAUGAGCCCCACACUAUUAAAGGGCUCAAAAAAUCUUAAGGGGCACAGUGCACAGGGUAUGUCUGUGUCAUUAACGGGUUAAGAAGUGACUGACUUGUGAAGUCUUGAGUAUAAGUCUUACAGAAAUGCAGAAAAAGAGGUGAAAUAAAUAAAGAAUCUAUAUUGCAAAGUUA